rnacentral:rRNA from 1 species
GACGAACCGUGCGAACGUUGUUCGGAUUCACUGGGCUUAAAGGGCGCGUAGGCGGGCCAUCAAGUCAGGGGUGAAAUCUUUCGGCUCAACCGGAAAAGUGCCUUUGAUACUGGUGGUCUCGAGGGAGGUAGGGGCAUGCGGAACUUCCGGUGGAGCGGUGAAAUGCGUAGAUAUACGGAAGGAACGCCGGUGGCGAAGGCGGCAUCCUGGACCAACACUGACGCUGAGGAGCGAAAGCCAGGGGAGCAAAGCGGG